rnacentral:tRNA from 1 species
GUUCCCGUAGCUCAAUCGGACAGAGCGCUAGCCUCCGGAGCUAGAGGUUGUGGGUUCGAGUCCCGCCGGGAACGCCA